rnacentral:misc_RNA from 1 species
GAUGAAGAACGCAGCGAAAUGCGAUAAGUAAUGUGAAUUGCAGAAUUCAGUGAACCAUCGAAUCUUUGAACGCACAUUGCGCCCGCUGGUACUCCGGCGGGCACGCCUGUCCGAGCGUCAUUUCAACCCUCAAGCCCUCCUUCGGGAUGGGCCUGGUGUUGGGGCUCGGCCGCCAUCUCCGGCGGCCGUCCCCUAAAUACAGUGGCGGUCACGUCGCGACUCCUUUGCGUAGUAGAAACACCUCGCUCCGGAUAGCAACGCGGUCCACGCCGUAAAAUCCCCAAUUUUCAAUGGUUGACCUCGGAUCAGGUGGGAAUACCCGCUGAACUUAAGCAUAUCAAUAAGCGGAGGA